AUUGAACGCUGGCGGAAUGCUUUACACAUGCAAGUCGAACGGCAGCACGGACUUCGGUCUGGUGGCGAGUGGCAAACGGGCGAGUAAUGUAUCGGAACGUGCCCAGUCGUGGGGGAUAACGUAGUGAAAAUUACGCUAAUACCGCAUACGAUCUAUGGAUGAAAGCGGGGGAUCGCAAGACCUCGCGCGAUUGGAGCGGCCGAUAUCAGAUUAGGUAGUUGGUGGGGUAAAGGCCCACCAAGCCAACGAUCUGUAGCUGGUCUGAGAGGACGACCAGCCACACUGGAACUGAGACACGGUCCAGACUCCUACGGGAGGCAGCAGUGGGGAAUUUUGGACAAUGGGCGAAAGCCUGAUCCAGCCAUUCCGCGUGCAGGAUGAAGGCCCUCGGGUUGUAAACUGCUUUUGUACAGAACGAAAAGGUUUCUACUAAUACUAGGAGCUCAUGACGGUACUGUAAGAAUAAGCACCGGCUAACUACGUGCCAGCAGCCGCGGUAA
rnacentral:rRNA from 1 species